AUUUGUCCUUUGAACACCUAGAUCUGUCCUCAAACACGAAAAAGAAUAGUAGAAAAAAGAUGUUUAAACAGAAAGAUGACUGGUUGGAGAAAAAAAUGAAGUGCAUUAAUGGUAGUAGCUUGUUUCAUUGCAAAUAUGGUAUUUUAAGUUAGAGUCAACCCUCCAAGUGGAGUAUGGCAGGAUAAUUAUACAGUUGACUCACAUGGUAAUCCCACAUCAAUAUUUGAUACUCACAAGGCGGGAGAAUCCAUUUUCCCUCAUAAUCAUUUAGCAGGAUAUGGACAGUUCUUGAUUUGUAACUCAUUGCAUCACUCAGUAUCAUAUUAUUGUUGAUGAUUGGUAUACCUUUAAGGAGAAGAAUAUUUAUGUGGAUUUUGAUGGCGAUCACUUGGAUUGCAAUUA
rnacentral:lncRNA from 1 species